UCUCCGUAGGUGAACCAGCGGAGGGAUCAUUACAGAUUUGCAAAAUUUCCAAACCAUUGUGAACGUUACCUAUCCCGUUGCUUCGGCGGGCGGCCCGGGUCCUGCGCCCGGCCCCCCCCGGCACCCCGAUGGCGCCCGCCGGUGGUAGACCAAACCCUUGAAUUGCCUGGCCUCUCUGAGUCUUCCGUAAUCGAUAAUCUAAAACUUUCAACAAAUGAACACCUGGUUCUGGCAUCGAAGCAGAACGCAGCAGAUCGGAAGAGCAGACGUCUCAACUCC
rnacentral:misc_RNA from 1 species